CCUUGUACACACCGCCCGUCACACCAUGGGAGUGGGUUGCUCCAGAAGGCGUUAGCCUAACCGCAAGGGGGACGACGCCCACGGAGUGGUCCAUGACUGGGGUG
rnacentral:rRNA from 1 species